rnacentral:rRNA from 1 species
AUCCAGACUCCUACGGGAGGCAGCAGUGGGGAAUAUUGCACAAUGGGGGAAACCCUGAUGCAGCGACGCCGCGUGAGUGAAGAAGUAUCUCGGUACGUAAAGCUCUAUCAGCAGGGAAGAAAAAAAGUCUUUGGCUUUGGACGGUACCUGACUAAGAAGCCCCGGCUAACUACGUGCCAGCAGCCGCGGUAAUACGUAGGGGGCAAGCGUUAUCCGGAUUUACUGGGUGUAAAGGGAGCGCAGGCGGCUUGUUAAGCCGGGGGUAAAAGGCCGGGGCUCACCCCCGGCGAGCCGUUGAAACUGGCGGGCUGGAGUUGGAGAGAAGUACGCGGAAUGCGCGGUGUAGCGGUGAAAUGCUUAGAUAUCGCGCAGAACCCCGAUUGCGAAGGCAGCGUACCGGCCCCACACUGACGCUGAGGCACGAAAGCGUGGGUAUCGAACAGGAUUAGAUACCCCCGUAUC